AUUGAACGCUGGCGGCAGGCCUAACACAUGCAAGUCGAACGAGUGGCGGACGGGUGAGUAAUGUAUGGGAAACUGCCUGAUAGAGGGGGAUAACUACUGGAAACGGUAGCUAAUACCGCAUACCAUCGGAUGUGCCCAUAUGGGAUUAGCUAGUAGGUGGGGUAAAGGCUCACCUAGGCGACGAUCCCUAGCUGGUAUGAGAGGAUGACCAGCCACACUGGAACUGAGACACGGUCCAGACUCCUACGGGAGGCAGCAGUGGGGAAGAUUGCACAAUGGGCGCAAGCCUGAUGCAGCCAUGCCGCGUGUAUGAAGAAGGCCUUAGGGUUGUAAAGUACUUUCAGCGGGGAGGCGUUACCCGCAGAAGAAGCACCGGCUAACUCCGUGCCAGCAGCCGCGGUAAUAC
rnacentral:rRNA from 1 species